GUGAGGAAUUUUCCGCAAUGGGCGAAAGCCUGACGGAGCAAUGCCGCGUGAAGGAUGAAGGCCUAUGGGUUGUAAACUUCUUUUCUCAGAAAAGAAUUAUGACGGUAUCUGAGGAAUAAGCAUCGGCUAACUCUGUGCCAGCAGCCGCGGUAAGACAGAGGAUGCAAGCGUUAUCCGGAAUGAUUGGGCGUAAAGCGUCUGUAGGUUGUUUAAAAAGUAUUCUGUCAAAGAUUAGGGCUUAACCCUAGAUAGGCAGAAUAAACUUUUAAGCUAGAGUUUGGUAGAGGCAGAGGGAAUUCCCGGUGGAGCGGUGAAAUGCGUAGAUAUCGGGAGGAACACCAAAGGCGAAGGCACUCUGCUGGGCAAAUACUAACACUGAGAGACGAAAGCGAGGGGAGCAAAUGGGAUUAGAAACCCCAGUAGUCC
rnacentral:rRNA from 1 species